CGGAAGCUGAAGAACCGAAUUGCGGGACGGGCCCGUGAAUCGCGCAAAAACGAGCAACUUUUACGCACGGAAACGGAACAUUCGCCGGAAUCCGCUGAUUACACUGAUGAUGAUGAUGAUGAUGGUGCGUUUCCUGCUUUAACAGCAGGGCUACUUGGAGCUGAAAAGACAGCCAUGAAACCCAGAUUCAGCUAAGCAACAGCCGGGGCCAGGAAUGCUGACCUUGGCGAACGAACCUGGCCAGCGACUGAGCACUCACUUCACACUUGUGGCGUGGCCUGCCAGCUCAUCUGUCUCUUGAUUUAUCUCCAGCUGCCUUCACCCAACAGCAAACCAACAGCAUUUGUCUAAAGAAUUACAGCCAAAGUUUUGAUCAAUGAUGGCCGAUACAGCAGAGAAGGAAAUUGGUACACUGAACACAAAGUAUA